CUGUGCUAAGGUAGCAUAUAUCACUUGGUUUUUAAUAGAGAUCUGGAAUGAAGGGUUUAACAAAUAUUAGUGUCUUACUCAUAAAGAGUGAAUUUAAGGUUCAAAGUAAAAACGCUUGAAUUAUUCGUGGGACGAUAAGACCCUAAAAGCUUUAUUUUUAAUAUUGAAAUAUUUUUAGUGUUUAGUAUAGUCAAUAAAUUUGGUUGGGGUAACAACUCUAAAUAUAUUAGGGUAAUUUUUUAUAGUGUAAUUAAAUAAGGGUCCUUAAUAUUAGGAUAUUAGUUGCAGUUACUUUAGGGGUAACAGGGUAAUUAUUUUAUAGAGCUCUUAUCUAUAAAGUAGGUUGCUACCUCGAUGUUGAAUUAAAAUUUCGGCGGAAUGAAAAAGGUUCGUUUGAGGGUUUGUUCAACCUUUAAUUUUUUACAUGAUCUGAGUUCAAACCAGA
rnacentral:rRNA from 1 species